rnacentral:lncRNA from 1 species
UGUCCGUCCCCUGCCGGGCGGCCUGACCCAGCCUCUUGUGCAGAGACACCUGGGGCUCCCCGGCAAGAUCCCUUCUAAGCAUUCCUUCUUAUUUUGCAGAUGGGGAAACUGAGGCACGGAGCUGGACAGUGACUCAGACACCAGGUGAACACUGGCUUUUGAGGGCAGGGUUGGGACUCGUGGGGGCAGCAAUGCCAGCUGGGUCAUCACAGUGAGGAGUGAGCUCUGACUCCCAGGAGGGUACAUAAGGAGCUGCCUGGAGUGGAGCUGAGAGCUCAGGUCUGGGCUCAGCCAGUCCAGAGUGCAAAUCUACUGUCCCUUCCUAGCUGUGUGAUCUUGGCAAGUGACUUCCCCUCUGGGGGAGGGGAGGGCUCAGUUUUCCCAUCUGUGAAGUGGAUCAGAGCUUUCCUGUCAAGACAGGCACUGGACGGGGCCUGCAGGGGUCUCCACAGAGACCAUCAGGAUGUCGUAUUUUGGGGAGCAUUUUUGGGGCGAGAAAAAUCAUGGCUUUGAGGUCCUGUACCACAGCGUGAA